rnacentral:rRNA from 1 species
CUACGGAGGAUGCGAGCGUUAUCCGGAUUUAUUGGGUUUAAAGGGAGCGUAGGUGGGAUAUUAAGUCAGCUGUGAAAGUUUGGGGCUCAACCUUAAAAUUGCAGUUGAUACUGGUUUCCUUGAGUACGGUACAGGUGGGCGGAAUUCGUGGUGUAGCGGUGAAAUGCUUAGAUAUCACGAAGAACUCCGAUCGCGAAGGCAGCUCACCGGGCCGGAACUGACACUGAUGCUCGAAAGUGCGGGUAUCAAACAGGAUUAGAUACCCUGGUAGUCCGCACAGUAAACGAUGAAUACUCGCUGUUUGCGAUACACGGUAAGCGGCCAAGCGAAAGCGUUAAGUAUUCCACCUGGGGAGUACGCCGGCAACGGUGAAACUCAAAGGAAUUGACGGGG